AAAAACAAAAUGACCUCCCCUCCACCCCCCACUUUCACAACAGUCAAAUACCAUGUCAACCCGAACAACAAGGUUGCCACCAUCACC
rnacentral:ribozyme from 1 species